UUUUGGCUCAUAGAUUCAAUUGUUUUAUCCCA
rnacentral:piRNA from 1 species